rnacentral:rRNA from 1 species
AUACGUAGGGUGCGAGCGUUGUCCGGAAUUACUGGGCGUAAAGAGCUCGUAGGUGGUUUGUCGCGUCGUCUGUGAAAUUCCGGGGCUUAACUCCGGGCGUGCAGGCGAUACGGGCAUAACUUGAGUACUGUAGGGGAGACUGGAAUUCCUGGUGUAGCGGUGAAAUGCGCAGAUAUCAGGAGGAACACCGGUGGCGAAGGGGGGUCUCUGGGCGGUAACUGACGCUGAGGAGCGAAAGCAUGGGUAGCGAACAGGAUUAGAUACCCUGGUAGUCCAUGCCGUAAACGGUGGGCGCUAGGUGUAGGGGUCUUCCACGACUUCUGUGCCGUAGCUAACGCAUUAAGCGCCCCGCCUGGGGAGUACGGCCGCAAGGCUAAAACUCAAAGGAAUUGACGGGG